UACAGAGGUCUCAAGCGUUGUUCGGAUUCAUUGGGCGUAAAGGGUGCGUAGGCGGCGCGGUAAGUCAGGUGUGAAAUCUUGGAGCUUAACUCCGAAACUGCAUUCGAUACUGCCGUGCUUGAGGACUGGAGAGGAGACUGGAAUUUACGGUGUAGCGGUGAAAUGCGUAGAUAUCGUAAGGAAGACCAGUGGCGAAGGCGGGUCUCUGGACAGUUCCUGACGUGAGGCACGAAGGUCAGGGGAGCAAACGGG
rnacentral:rRNA from 1 species